rnacentral:lncRNA from 1 species
GAUGAACACGUUGAGAUGGCAGUCUUUUAACUGGACAAACGAACAUUUAGCCUAAUUCUCGAUUGUUGCUGCAAGUAAACCUAUUUUGGAAGUUUAAGCCGUUAUUGGAAUCGACAUUGUUAAAAUGAAUGGAUGCAGGUUGAACAAUCAAACAGCUGUGUUGUAAAUACAAAGUGGAUUAUUCUGAAGAGAGCCUACGGCAAAUCGAGCUCGGCCACUUUCAAUUAACCUUCGAUGUAUGGUUCAGAAAAUCUCAUUUAAUUAACGUUUGGUGAUUGGGAUUAGCUGUAAUUGCGACGGACAUUUAAUCGAUUACGAGGUUAUAAAAGGUCAUGUUGAAAGAACAGCGUUGAAGAUGUUAUAUCAGAGAAUAUAGUGGACGAAGAAAAUUCGUAAUUAAUUUUAUACGUUUUUAACAGAAAGAGACAUGGCAAGCGUGCUCAUGCCCUAUAACCUGAUAUCAGAACAGGUUUAACCUCAUCGUUAAACCCUCUGAUAAUGAGAACAUAAUUUCAACUAGUAACACGUCUACGUUUUCCAUCCUGUUUCUAUCCAAAAGGGAAUUUCACCAUGAAAACAGCUCAGUUGGUGAGAGUUGAUCACGUAUCGAGGCAAAAAGUUACUGGUUACUUCAUCGACUCGAAUAUGGAGCGGCUAAAAAUAGGAAAUCGAUGAGGAAAAAAGCAUCGUGAUUAGAACCUAACCUAUAUCUAAUA